GAUUUAUCUAUCAUUCCUCAGGCAAACGCAUCAAACACCAAGUGUUUCUCUUCCAACAGCACGCGCCAUCGGUGGAGCAAGCAGCCAACGAUUUGAUCGCCAGUACGCGCUAUCAAGAAUUGAUAUUUUGCCAAACAGUAAUGUGAAUAAAAAACUGCACACUUACUGACGGACUUUCCUGGAAUUUUUUUAUCGGUCUACGCUCGCGGGAAUGGUGGGUCCGUUGAGGAGAAGGAAAGAAAGGGUGGGAGCGAGGAUUAACCAAAAACGCGGCAUUGAGAAUGAGGGGAGGUGCGCUCAGCGCUCACGCUGGGACACUCACGAUGCUUGUAAUAAAAUGUUAACAAGCAUCGAUUCCAAGCAUGCAUGUCGCGCGACAUUUUGCCAAGCGGGUAUCAGCUUCCUCUCGUACUGCACAGGAAUUCCGUUAAGAUAGCGACCCAACCAGCAAAACCGAAGCUAUUGGAAAACUUUCCUGUGUGCCAAAGCGAGAGAGCAUGUCUUCUUUCUCUAGAUUAUGAACGAAAAACGGGAGAAGGGGAAACCGAUAUUCUUCGAGUGACACACACGCAUGCAUCUGCAUGCGUAUUCCGCUGAACCGAGACUACACAUCUCUCUCGAUCUCCCAUGAUUUUUCUGCUAUCGCGCUCAUCCGGGUGUUAGGCAUCCUCAGUCUGUCCAGAACUUUCACUGUGGAAGGAUGUGUUGGAGUGAUGUGUGAUUUCUUGUGCCCCGUACUUUGCUCGUUUACGUUUUGUGCCGUGUUCCUUCUUCUUCAAUUAUGAAAUGAUUUAUCCUUGUAAAUUUCUAAGGUAAGUUGCUUAUCCUCGUGUGUGCUUCAAUGGAUACAUUCAACUAACGCUUGUCGUCUAAAAAGUUACAGUGCACGCGCAUGUUAAUCGACGGUUGCCAACAUCUCGCAAAACGAUCGACGGAAGGAAAACGGUGUCCGGUUUUAAAAUAUAAAGAUUUCAUUACAGCUCUUUCGUAAAAGAGCGCACUUCAAGGACGCCUAGGAUACGGCUAAACAUUAAGCACCAGUCCGUGACGUCAUUUUCCAGACAGGCGCCGGCUGAACACGCGCAGCACCAGUCGAGGAUAUCCUAGCGCAGAGGGUAGAAGGAAGAACGAGAGGAAGGGUAACAGAAAGCAACCGCAGCAUUUGGAAGGGGUGAAGCAUCCUGUCGUAUACAGAGUGUGAGUGUGCCAAAACGCAUGUGGAAAGAGUAACGCCAAUAAAUAGCAUGCGAAAGUGUGCAUAAAGCAAAAAGAAAAA